rnacentral:lncRNA from 1 species
ACUUUCAAGGUCAUUCCGGACUCCUGACGCCGCCAGUCCCUUGGUGAGACGUGAGCGCCAUUGGCGUCCGUGGCCUCUGUUUCCGUGGCAACCCAGUAACCAUUAAUUUUCAAUUAAAGGAGACAAAAAGCUCCAUGACAGCUCCAGGUCUGCUGAAGAUGUCAAGAAUCUGUAUUAAUAUACAGCAAGAGAGCAUAAUUGUGUGUCCAUCUUCCAGAGCAGCGAAAAAUGGAGGGAUAAUUACCAGCUCGAAAGCCACUCUGUAAUUUAGUUCUUACUGUCACCACAGCCUUACACAUUAGCAUAAAUUAAAAGCAGAGUUUAUUGUUAUCAAAGUG